rnacentral:misc_RNA from 1 species
AGUUGCUAUUGAGCCAAAAUACUUAGUGCUGGUUGAAAUGGCUUCUCCUCUAGAAAAUCCAAGCGAGUUCACAAGAUAGUUCACCAAGAAACGUGUUUGGUCACAUGCAGUUUUAUCUGCAAUGGUUGAAUAUUGAAACAAGAAUUUGGAGUUGUAGAUGAAGAAAAACUGACCUACGGCGGCGCCAUGGCAGUGCGGUCGGAGUAAGCGAGCCGCCA